rnacentral:tRNA from 1 species
UAAACAAAUAGCUUAACCAUUAAAGCAUUACAUUGAAGCUGUAAUUAUAGAGAUUUCUCUUUUGUUUAA